rnacentral:rRNA from 1 species
AGUGAACGCUGGCGGUAGGCCUAACACAUGCAAGUCGAACGGCAGCACAGUAAGAGCUUGCUCUUACGGGUGGCGAGUGGCGGACGGGUGAGGAAUACAUCGGAAUCUACUUUUUCGUGGGGGAUAACGUAGGGAAACUUACGCUAAUACCGCAUACGACCUACGGGUGAAAGCAGGGGAUCUUCGGACCUUGCGCGAUUGAAUGAGCCGAUGUCGGAUUAGCUAGUUGGCGGGGUAAAGGCCCACCAAGGCGACGAUCCGUAGCUGGUCUGAGAGGAUGAUCAGCCACACUGGAACUGAGACACGGUCCGGACUCCUACGGGAGGCAGCAGUGGGGAAUAUUGGACAAUGGGCGCAAGCCUGAUCCAGCCAUACCGCGUGGGUGAAGAAGGCCUUCGGGUUGUAAAGCCCUUUUGUUGGGAAAGAAAAGCAGCAGGUUAAUACCUCGCUGUUCUGACGGUACCCAAAGAAUAAGCACCGGCUAACUUCGUG